AGGGUCGGCAGACUAAAGCACAUAAGUCAAAAAUUUCAAUUUAUUUUUUAUUACAUCAUCGGUUUACAUUUUGCUCAAUGCACAAUCUGACUAAAGCACAUAAAUCAAACUCAAGUAUUUCAUGGCGUAUUCAAGCGGCGUUCUGUAUCAACCUUAUCAAAUCCUAAUAUAGUCAAACGAACUAAAAAACAUAACUGGACUUAUGUUCUAAGGAACACCAUAAGUACAAAGUUAUUAACGUAAGAAGUCUGACUUAUGUUAUAAAGAACAUCAAAAUGUAACAUUUCUUUAGAGAAAGUGGUUACUUAAAAAUAUUUAUAACGUAAACAAUACUUCGAUGAAUAUUCAAAGAGGCAAGAAAUUAGUUGAAAUGGCGUCAUCCACUAAUCUGGAAAGCAAUGAAGGUAUAUUUUCACAUAUCUUCAAAAUUAUGAUUUGCAAAUUACGUAAUUAUAUCAAUAUUAUAUCAUUAUAAAUAGAUAAUUAAUUGUCUUGUCCUUUUUUAGAAAAUGUAAAUCAACAGUCGAUUUUGAACACAGAGUUCUAGUAGAACCUAGUAGUAGACGAUCCUAUACCGUCGACAUCAUCAGGUCAAGUCAGUAGCUUAACAUACUAUUCUGUACUUGACUUCUCUAGUGAUGAUUCUGUACGAUAUCCAUGUUAUGAAUUACCGAGACUUCCAACCACAUCAAGUUCAAGUACUUGUGAUGAAAUUUCAAUGAAUCCUAAUGUGUCUCCAAAAAAGAGUAUACGUACUAUAAAAAGAGAAAAAAGAAUAAAACGUAACUUAGGACAGGCAUACAAAACUUUAAAAGGAAAAUGUAUAUCAGAUCGCACUAUGAAUUAAAAAAAUUUUUUGAGAAAAAACAAAAAAAAAAGCCCGCUGAGUUUGUUUCGCCGGUUCUUCUCAGGACUGUGGCUUUUUUUGGAACCGGUGGUAGAGAUAACAUUGUUAUUUAUAUUUUGACAUUCAAUAAGUGUGUUAUACUGACAUCUAAGUUGAAAUAAAUGAUUUUGAAUUUGAAAGAGUUACCUGUUUGCAGAAUGAAAUGUAAAGAACGUAUACCAUUAACUGAUAGGCGUGCCAUAUUUACAGAAUAUUGGCAAAUGGGGUCAUAUGCAAAAAGAUCUGCAUACUUGGCGUCUUUAAUGGAAAUUCAAGAUAAAUCUAAACAAAGAAUACGAGAUAUUGAACCUGAAAAGCAAAAGCUUAGAAUGAAGACAUAAAAAUACUUUUUUACUGUGCAUGGUAAAGGUGAACCUGUCUGCCGAGGAUGUUUAAUGAAACCGUUAGAUGAAAGUGACAAUUUUAUAAAGACAGUUGCUAUGAAAAGGAGAUCAUCCAUUGGGGGUUCUCAAACUGAUGAUAUAAUAUCUAUACAGCCAUUACCCAUAUUCAUCGAGAAAAAAAAUUAUUUAAUUUCGCUGCUCCCUUUAAUACUAGAUAUUUUCCAUGAAUUUUACAUAAGUCUUCCCACGUUGGAAACUUUACGAAAUACUGAUCCAGAUAUUUAGAAGAAGAAGAAUAAUAGAAUAAGAAGAAGAAUUUUAAUUAAACAUUGAGUUGUUAUUUAUAUUUAUGACUUAUAUUAUUAUAAUAUAUAUCUUAAUUGUUGAUCUUUUUCACUUAACUCAUACUAUUAUUGUGUUCCUUAUAACUUAAGUCAUCUAAUUAUUAAAUAAUCACAUUUACUUUAAAAUAUUUAAUUUUAAUAAUAAGUUAGUGUUAUAGACUUAUAUAAUUCAAAUAAACAUUAUUAAGUUUGUUAAUGUAUAAGAUU